rnacentral:rRNA from 1 species
UUCCGGUUGAUCCUGCCAGAGGUCACUGCUAUCGGUGUCCGAUUAAGCCAUGCGAGUCGAGAGGUGUAAGACCUCGGCAGACUGCUCAGUAACACGUGGAUAACCUGCCCAAGGGUCCGGGAUAACCCCGGGAAACUGGGGAUAAUACCGGAUGGGUCACCAGUGCUGGAAUGCUUGGUGGUCGAAAGGUGACGCCUUUGGAUGGGUCUGCGGCGGAUUGGGUUGACGCCGGUGUAACGUACCGGCGUGCCUGUAAUCCGUACGGGUUGUGGGAGCAAGAGCCCGGAGAUGGAUUCUGAGACACGAAUCCAGGCCCUACGGGGCGCAGCAGGCGCGAAAACUCUACAAUGCAGGCAACUGCGAUAGGGGGACAUCGAGUGGCAUCCACCUUGGGUGUCUGUCCAACCGUCUAAAAAACGGUUGUUAGCAGGG